CAGAUCCAAUUUUCUGCCACCGAAUACAUUAGCAUGGGAUAAUGGAAUAGGACCCUGUCCUCCUAUUUUCAGUUGGUUUGCCGCGAGGACCAGGGUAAUGAUUAAUAGGGAUAGUUGGGGGCAUUAAUAUUUAAUUGUCAGAGGUGAAAUUCUUGGAUUUAUGAAAGAUUAACUUCUGCGAAAGCAUCUGCCAAGGAUGUUUUCAUUAAUCAAGAACGAAAGUUAGGGGAUCGAAGACGAUCAGAUACCGUCGUAGUCUUAACCAUAAACGAUGCCGACCAGCGAUUAGGAGACGUUGAAUACAAAACACCACCAUGCGCAUUGCGGUCGUCUUUGGUGUCGCUCACAAGGCGG
rnacentral:rRNA from 1 species